AUAACUCAAGUCUGCACAACAAUAGCAGACUAUUAUCAUAAAAUUCUCUCCUGUUUUCUUUUCUUUUCUUCCUUUCAAAAUCAUCAAGAUGUACAGAAAGCUCUUAAACGGUUCUACAAACAGCUUUAGGAUCAUAUAUAAUCUAUAUGCUAGAUUCUUCCGUGUUACUGGUUUUGGUGAAGUCAUAUCUUUUGAACAAGAUGUAAUCUACACUUUGUCUAAAUACUUGUCUCAAUUGAUUCUUAUAAUACUCCUUCUCUCCCUUUCUCCCCCUCUAUGAAGAAAUUACCAAUUCAUCUGUCUAAACUAUCUAGAAUUAUGAUGUACUACUAGACACUGUUUCUCAGUCUUUUAUGAUGUUUUUGUGAGAAUUGUUGAUGAUGAAAUUAAUUUCUGCAUCUGCAUAUCUGCUAUUCAUAAAUACGUGCAACUUAUAUCAAAGUUGUGCUUUCAUAAUGUGCUGUUAAAGCCUGCUAAAUGGUUUUAAUAGGCUGGGAUUAUUGUAACAUGACAUUUUGUGCUCUGAAUUUUUCAGCAAAGGAAAAUUGAUAGUUGACUUGGAAUUGGUCUCAAAUGAGUUAGUCUAGACAUGUGGAUGCAGUUAAUGCAGAUCUUGUCAUAAAUCGUGCAGAUUUUAACUGGUGGUCAUUCCAUGAUAUUAAUUCGUCAGAUAUUCGUGGCUGUGGAGGUUUGCUGGACCUAUGGCAAUUAUAAUGUCUGAAGAAACACCACCGCAGGGUAUUCUUGGUGACACACCGUCAGCAAUUAAGUUCAGCAUCUGGGGCCUCUAAAUAACUUUUGUGCUUGCUGUGGGCCGAUCUACUAGACUUCAAUGCUCAGACCUAAGAAUGAGAAUACCAUAUGAGAAUCUACCUUCCUGUGGCAGGUAACAACUAACGUGGCCAUCUGUGAGGACGUUCUGCAUCUGUUCUUAUGUGUUGACUUUUCGGAACAUGGAUGCUUGAUUAUAAGAAAACGUAACGUCAAAAAAUGAUCAGUAUUUUUAUUCCGUAACAUGCUUGAUCGGAUGGAACAUUUGCAUUCAUACAAGAAAAUUUAUUUGGCAUUACCUGAUUUCCAUGAUCAGUUCUGAUUUCUGUAGGUGGACGUUUACU